GGGGCUAUAGCUCAGCUGGGAGAGCGCUACACUGGCAGUGUAGAGGUCGGCGGUUCGAUCCCGCCUAGCUCCACCA
rnacentral:tRNA from 17 species